rnacentral:rRNA from 1 species
GAUGAACGCUGGCGGCGUGCCUAAUACAUGCAAGUCGAGCGAACAGACGAGGAGCUUGCUCCUCUGACGUUAGCGGCGGACGGGUGAGUAACACGUGGAUAACCUACCUAUAAGACUGGGAUAACUUCGGGAAACCGGAGCUAAUACCGGAUAAUAUAUUGAACCGCAUGGUUCAAUAGUGAAAGACGGUUUUGCUGUCACUUAUAGAUGGAUCCGCGCCGCAUUAGCUAGUUGGUAAGGUAACGGCUUACCAAGGCAACGAUGCGUAGCCGACCUGAGAGGGUGAUCAGCCACACAGGAACUGAGACACGGUCCAGACUCCUACGGGAGGCAGCAGUAGGGAAUCUUCCGCAAUGGGCGAAAGCAUGACGGAGCAACGCCGCGUGAGUGAUGAAGGUCUUCGGAUCGUAAAACUCUGUUAUUAGGGAAGAACAAAUGUGUAAGUAACUAUGCACGUCUUGACGGUACCUAAUCAGAAAGCCACGGCUAACUACGUG